AUUUUAGGUUACUGCAACUCUUAUGUUAUUUUCAAAUAUUACAACAUGUAGUAUUACCCUGUAUAAUGCAGGUUUUAUUUUAAUAACAUGAAAUGCACAAUUAUUUUAGAUAUUUUAAAUUUAGCCAUUUAGCUUGUUAAUUGACUCUUUCAAUAUAAAUUGUGAAUCUUAAUAUUUGUCAUGUAGUUUAUUUAACAGGACCUGUGUCCACACAAGCCCUGAAAAUAGAAAAAGUGACAAACAAAGUUCCGUUUCUAAAAUGAACACAUUAUUUGUGAUUCCAAAUUUUAUCAAAUUUUAGUCAAGUCAAAAAUGCAAAAGACCAGGAUGUAAAUAUAUACAUGUAGGAAUUAUAUCCCUUUAUCAAUAUUUAACUUAAGGACAACAUUUUUUCUCUAAACCAAUGAAACAUACCUUAAAGGGAACAUUAGGAUUUCGAGAGUGGCCCCAAAAACUUUAUUGUGGUGAAAUUCAUAUGUGCUCAGUGCUGCGGUGUAAGAGUGAAUAAAGGGGCAUCAGGCGCGUUGGGGGGGUGAUGAGGGUUACGACCUGCUGCUGCAACGAACCCUCUCUUAACGGAUUGAUUUCUGUUUUUGCAGGAAUGUGUGAAGUGCAGGCAGAAGCACAGUCACACACACACACACACACACACACACACACACACACACACACACAUCCCAUGUGUGUGAACCUGCAGGGCAACAGGUCAGCAGAGACACACACCUCUUCCUGCUCUGAAGGAACCAUGAGUCAACGGCUGGGUCAGCGAGAAGCUUCAUUACUCCACAGUUACAGCAGGAAGAAGAAGAAGAAGAAGAGGAGGAGGCAGUGGAGGAGGAAGAAGAGAAGCAGAGUGGGUGGAAGGAUGGAAGGAGAGAAGGAUAGAAGCAGUUCGAGGAGGUGGUUCGAAGCGGGUGAACCCAGAGCAGGUGAACGCAGCUGCGGAUCGCCAUGGGCUCUCUGGCUGCCUUCCUCCCGUGGCCCCAGCGCUGCAUACAGGGGUCCCGGGGAGACGGCAGGGGCCAGCCAAAGCUGCGGCAGAGUGGGCAUGCUAGGCCAUCCGAGCCAGGAGAGAGGCAGGUGAGGCGGGUGAGCCGAGCUCUCAUCCCCGCCGGCUAGGAGCCUCCACGGCAGAGCGGAGCAGCAGAAAUCAAUACAGAGGAGAGAGGCUAGCAGAGGUUGCCCAGCACCGCCUGCAGGCCUCGGAGCCAAGGGACCAACCACCACCACUGCUCCCAGCUCCUCUCUCCAUUUCUCUUUCUAUCUUCCUCCAACAGUCUCAGCAUCAGCCAGGGCCAGGGCCCUAACCUUAUAACCGCCCCACACGCAGUGUGUGUGUGUCAGUGUGCGCACAUGUGUGUGUGAAGCAUAGAGAAAAAGGCAGAGGGAAGAGACAGAGAGAGAGAGUCUUUGUGUGUGGUUCCGCCGGAGGGGUUUCUGCUGCGUCCAACACCACUUGAUAAAACUUUGUCAGGAAGACAUGGAGACAGUGAGGAAGGGAGAGAAAUGGAAGAAAAAUAAGCAUGUCGACAGCACGUUGAAGCUCUUUUCUUCCUGCUCCCUCCUUCCUAUUACUCAUUCCACCUUAACUGUUUGAGUAAGGAUCCAUCUGAGACGCUAGCACAGGACAUUUCUGCUCAGUCCCACUUUCAAGCACAUAUCGCACUCAACGUUUCGCAAGAUCUCCUGAGCCGGGAUGAAAGGACAAUUUGAACUUUUUCUCUCAUUCACUGUAUCAGACACCGCCUGUCUUUUCACCUUAGAUUUUCUCACCCUCACUACAGCAGCUCCCAUCAGAGGAUAUGGCAGGGCAGUAUUGAUCUAUAAGGUGGGAGAGAGGAAGGUGGGCCCGGGCUUUCAGACCUCUCUCUCUCUAUGUGUGUGUGUGUGUGUGGAAAUAGCACCUGAAGUCCACUUACUGCUGUGCAGCAAGGAUCCAAUGGCAGCACAAGUGAAAGGCUGCUAAUUGAAUGAGAGAUAAAAAGUACAGUGGUUGCACCUCCUCCUCAUCCUCCUCUUCAGUUUUUCCAUUUGACUUUUUUACAACAAUCCUUCUCCUCACAAAGAAACUUGCCCUUUAGAUGUUUUAACCAAAACUGCUGGUGACUCAAGAAAAUUGGCCAAAUCCUCAGAAAUGUGUGGAGGUGAGAGCCUCCAAAGAAAACAGAGGAGAAGCAGUUUCUUUUAUGCACCGACCCCCCUGAAACUAAAGUUCCUGCCGGAAGACGUGUUUGUGGACUUGGACGGACAUGAGAGGCCAGACGGACGAACACAACGGGACUGAUACCUCUUGACCACAUCAGAAAUCCUCCAUGAAAAGCUGCGAUCAAGCCUUCAUCACAAAUCACACGCUGCCUGGCACCAGAUUCUCUUUGCACGUUCAACCUUCGGCCACGUAUGGAGAACGCUGCAUAUGCAGGAGCAGUCAGUGAGACCCGUCAUUACAGUGUGAUUAUCAGCAGUGCUGUCUUCGCUCUGUGUGGAUGUGGACAGGUAAGUCGGAGCCGCUUCUAAAAGGUAUGUUUAGAGGUUGAAUCAAUUUAGAGCCGUAUGAAGUGAACACUGGAGCUGGCAAGCAAUAUUUCCCCCCAAAAUUUGUUUCAUUAGAUCCGUAUUACUAUAUUUGAGACCAAUUUCAGGUCGGAGAUUGAAUGAGACCCCGAGGGGUCCCUUCUUUUCAGUUGCUAAUUCACAUUCAAGUAUUUGACUGGAAAAUUGUUUGAUGAGAGUUUGUCGCUGUUGAAUUACUUUCCUCUUGUCUGAGAUAUUCCGUAUACAUAUUUAUUUGCAAUCUUUUUCAUUAUGCUAUGAACCUAUUUAUUAAUCAAUGAGAUUUCAAAAUGCCAAAAGUAUUGACAUGAUAUAUUUUCAAUAAAACUGAACUUUGUGAAAUAAAAA